UCCCUCCAUGCUUUAAUGCUGAGUGUCCCGCGGGGCCCGAAGCGUUUACUUUGAAAAAAUUAGAGUGUUCAAAGCAGGCCCGAAA